AAUGGGCGCAAGCCUGACGGAGCAAGACCGCGUGAGGGAAGAAGGUCUGUGGAUUGUAAACCUCUUUUGAUAGGGAAGAAGACAGUGACGGUACCUAUCGAAUCAGCCUCGGCUAACUCCGUGCCAGCAGCCGCGGUAAUACGGAGGAGGCAAGCGUUAUCCGGAAUUAUUGGGCGUAAAGAGUCCGUAGGUGGGUAACCAAGUCAGCUGUUAAAUAGUGAAGCUUAACUUCAUAGAGGCGGCUGAAACUGGUUGUCUAGAGUGUGGUAGGGGUAGAGGGAAUUUCCAGUGUAGCGGUGAAAUGCGUAGAUAUUGGAAAGAACACCGGUGGCGAAAGCGCUCUACUGGGCCUGCACUGACACUGAGGGACGAAAGCUAGGGGAGCGAAAGGGAUUAG
rnacentral:rRNA from 1 species